rnacentral:misc_RNA from 1 species
AACGCAUCUUGCGCUCCUUGGUAAUCCGAGGAGCAUGCCUGUUUGAGUGUCAUUAAAUUCUCAACUCUCUUAUACUUUGUUGUAAAGGAGGGCUUGGAUUGUGGAGGUUUGCUGGCCACUUGUUGGGGUUUAGCUCCUCUGAAAUGCAUUAGCGGAACCGUUUGCGAUCUGCCACAAGUGUGAUAAACUAUCUACACUGGCGAGGGGAUUGCUCUCUGUUGUUCAGCUUCUAAUCGUCUCACAAGACAAUUUUUUGAAUGCUUGACCUCAAAUCAGGUAGGACUACCCGCUGAACUUAA